UAGGACUUUAUUUAAUUUUGAAAAAAGUUCAUCUAGCAGUUUUAAGUGAUCAUAGCAGGAGGAUUAGUCCUAACAAACCAACUUUUUCAGAGGUGCCCCAUUUUCUUUUGAACCCAUUUAGAUCAGUAAUACGCCUGUUUGUACUCUUAUUUUUCACCCUUUCCCCACUCUGGUGUAAACUACCUGGGGACUAACACCUGUAAGCUGUAUUCUCCAGGAUCCCUGUCAGCUUGCUUCUCACUGGAGUUAGCCAGUGAGAAACAUUAAUGGGAAGGUGAGCGGAUAGGAGAAACUAUAUUUUCCCUCCGCUUUCCUUUUCUCAGACAGCCUUUCCAGUAUCAGUGUCCUCUAGCUGUGUUCCCUCAUAGCUCUAGUUUCCACCACACAGUGCUUCCUUCUUUGGCCCUAGGCAGUUCCUGUAGUGGUUUUAGCCCCUGCUGGAUUAGACUGGUGUCUGGGCUCUGGUAAUACACUGCCUUCUAUUAUUCCUUCAGUUCUAGGGGUGGGAGUACCUGCCUCUCAUUGCUAAUCUUUAUGUUGCCUUACUGUCCUCCAUUAGUUUUCAUAGCUUAUCUAUUACCAGUCUCCUAUAUUAAAUUUUCUUUAUUUGAAAUACUUAGAAUAAUUGUUUUCUGACUGUACCCUCACUGGUUCACCACUGGAAUUAUUCCUUUGCCUGCAGUACUCCACUGAAACUCCCAAGAAACUGACUGUACAAAUAGACAGUAGCCACAUCAUUUUUGAAAAAUAGAACUCCAACUCACAACUUCUGUAGCCAGUCUAGAUAGCCAAACCAUAACUUUUGCGGCAGUUGGCCCAAAUGUGUUAGGACUUGGUCAAUGACUGCCAGCUUCCCUAAUUUAUGUCUCUUUUUUCCAACUUAGACCAACCAGAGAAAGCCAAAUAUGAUCAUCAAACCAACCAUGUAAGAUGGUUCUCUUAUAGCUAGCCCACCUCUACCUUCCCCAUGCUCACAAUGUCCAACCAAAACAAUACUGAAUCCUCUCCUUUUUUCCCCCAUUAUAAAGCUUUCUAACUCUUCUGUGAGCUUUUGAGUAUCUGAAAAGUGCAGGUGAUAGUGGCUGAUUGAGUUGCCAUUGAUAGCUCUGAAUAAAUAGCCUCUGUUUGUUCUCAUUUGAGUAGUUUUCAUUUAUUUUUGCACUUCUCUUUCCAAAGUUACUAGUGUCAUCUACCUUGCCAAACUCAUUCAGUACCCAGUUUUCAGUCCUUGUAUUUUUGAGCCAUCAUUAUGUGAUACAGUUGAAUAUCUUACAUCCCUACAAUUUAGAACACUUUUCUUUGGCUCUGGGAUAUCACACUCCCUUGGUUUUCUUGCUAGCCAUUGGCUAUUCCUUCUCAGUCUCCUUUGCUCGUCCAUCCUAGUUUUACUAGACUUCUAAGCAUUGGACUGUCCCAAGGCUUGGUUCUCAGAACUAUAUAUUUGCCUUUCUGGCUCCACCCUCUACUUUUCUCUACAUUGUUCUUUGGCCACAAGGCUCAUCUAUUUGGAUAACAGAACCCAGCUCCCUUACAGUCUUGUUUCUAGCUGGCACAGUAUGCUAUCCAGAGGAUGGUAAAGAUAUUUAUUCCUUUAGCUAAGCAGGUCCUUGUGGGUUAGUUGUGGCGCUAGUCCAAAGGUCACAGCUCCUGUCAAGAGGCCCUUUCCACAUGACUCUUUGAAUUCUGUUAACCACUUCUUUUUUGGCCCAGGUUGGUAUAGGUUCCCAGCCUGGAUAACUGCUACCAAUCUACCCCAAAUGAGACUACCUAAUUAGCAUAAUAAAUAAGGAUAGCCCAGCAGUUAUCUAUGGAGCAGAUCAUUUAGCUUUUCCCUAAUUUUUCUCAGUAUGUAAAGAAUAUUUAAGAACUGUUGAGCAGGGAAGAGUAUGAGAAGGCAAGAAUAUCAUUAUAAAUCUUGACAUUUUUAUAUAUAAUCCAGGGCUUAUUCAUAGAGGAAAAAGAUACAGUUUAAGGAGGAAAACACCUAAAUCAUAGGAGCAUUAUCUCAGCUUCACACCUCACACAGACCUUUACAGAACAGUGAUGCAGACAGAAUCAAAUGAUGAUCUCCAAAGUCAAAAUCUUCUGCUACACUGUUGUCUGAAUCUUCUAUAAACAAGGUGGCUUCGGAGUUCCCGUCAUGGCGCAGUGGUUAACGAAUCCGACUAGGAACCAUGAGGUUGCAGGUUUGAUACCUGGCCUCGCUCAGUGGGUUAAGGAUCUGGCGUUGCCAUGGGCUGUGGUGUAGGUUGCAGAUGUGGCUUGGAUCUGGCAUUGCUGUGGCUAUGGUGUAGGCUGGCGGCUACAGCUCCAAUUCAACCCCAAGCCUGGGAACCUCCAUAUGCCAUGGGAGUGGCCCUAGAAAAAGCAAAAAGACAAAAAACAAAACAAUGAAACAAAAACAAACAAACAAACAAAACAAGGUGGCUUAUUAUUGUUUCCCUGUUUCUUUUCUCAUUUGCCUUGGAUCUGUCCUCUCAUAAAUAAUUUACAUUUUAUAAGUACUGGAAAGGAAUGUGGUGAGGACACUACCUGAGAAACUAAUCAAAAUUGCAAUACCACUAGCAUGUAUAAGGAUUUUCAUCAAAUAAUGAAAAUAUGAUUUUAUAGUUUGUAUUGAAUAGCAUUUUGAAAGUCUCGAGUGUAAUGUUUUACUUUAUACAUUCCUUUGGAUUCUAGGGUUUUCUUUAAGUACUCUUUAGAGAUUCUUCUAUAAAAAGGAAAUUGAAGCCCUUUUCAUUAUUGAUAUUGAAGAACUGAACAGUUUCGACUUACAGAACUUCAUUUAUUAUAAGAUUAUAUCUGAGAAAUAUGUUUUGUACCAGUAGUUUAUCUAAAUGGUAAAAAAAUUGUUAGGGUGUGUGAAGAGUGAACCUUUCCCAAAGAGGGGUCUGACUUGCCCUUGGUUACUGGGAGGUGAUCUCCAGUUUCCUGAAGUAUCCUGCAGGAUAGGAUUGUCUUUGUUUGCGCAUGGCCUAUGGCUACCAAAGAGUUUACUACUGUGACUUAUGACUUAUGAUAGAGGCCUUGGGCCACGUAGUCUCAGUUUGGACCUCCAAAGAAACUGAUGACUGAGGAUAAUAGUCCAGCCUCCAGAGGGACUAGAGACUAAAGAUCAGUUCUUGGACUGUAUGAGAUCAAGCCCCAAUAAAAUCUGGACAUUAGAGGCUUGGGUGAGUUUCCCUUUGUAUAUACGUGUGUAUGGGAGAGGCCCUUAUAAGCUUCUCAUUUGGACCCCUCCUGGACUCUGCCCAAUGUGUCUCUUCAUUUGGCUAAUUUUAACCCAUAGCCUUUACCUAUAAUAAUUUAUGAGUAUGACAAUUUUCAGUGAAUUCUGUGUAUCCUUCCACCUUAUUUUGAACCUGAGAGUGGAACCCCCAGAAUUGCAGAAAUUGAAAGUGGUUUUGUGGAGGACUUUGUCCCCUUUAACUACAUAUUUGGCUAAACUAAUUUCAGGUUGUAACCAGGGAAUGGAAUUUCAUCUCCCUUAUACCAUUCUGGUAUCAUUAUGGUCCCUCAAAUGAUAAAAAAUAUGACAAAAAGAAGUCUUCUUGUUAACUUCUUCCCCCACAACCUUGGAACUUAAUGGGACAAUUUAAAAACCUAAAAAAAAAACUGAUUUUAUUCCUUUAUAAAAAUUCUUAUAUUUCUUCUAUUAUCCCAGGCCAUCACCUUUACUUGAUUGCGAGUGGUUGAAAACAUUAGUUUGUAUUAAAAGAUACACAUUUAUAAUGGGGUAAAGUGUAAAAUUGUUAUACAUUGUUGAAGAUUUUAAAGAAAUGUGAACUUUGGCAGACCGCAUUAAAGUGUAUUUUUUUUUCCUUUUUCUGUCUUUAGAGGCAUUUUGAUUGGAAAAAAAGUCGAAGAAUUAGGGUAAGGCUUAUAUUACAGUCAGCUUCUUAGAAUCCUCUGUGAUCCCUUUCUUUCCUAUGGCCCCAGUCUGGUCCUAUUUAGCUCUACCCAAUAGUAGGGAGCAACAGCAAACAUGUCUUCAUUGGGCAUCAGUGACAGAACUUCCCUUAUAUUCUCAUCAGUGACAGAGAUAUUCUCAGAGGAAGCCUGACCAGGAAAGAAGAAAAAUGAUGUUGGCCACAAGCAAACCAAGAGGACAUGUCACAAGUGAGAUACUCUCUACAGUGCCACAGCUUUAUUUGGCUAAUAGGCUAGAGUGCCCAUGUAGGGAGGGGAAGGACAGGGUAAUAAGGGGACCAGAGAAGUAUCUAUUAUUUAUUGACAUUGUUGUUGUUGUGUUGUAUAAAUUCUGUUAUUUUUAUCUCUGGCCUGGUGUGGCCUUGGAAACACAGGUUAUAUUAAAAUUACCCCUGUUCAAAUAAAGGAUGGAUAGAAAUAUUGCCAGUGAGAAAUGUUAUCACUUUAUAUUUUCAUGAAAAUAUCUAUUUACCGCAUAAGUGACAGGUUGAAGCUAGAAAAAAAUAUCUAGGAUGAAAACUUUAACUUUGCAUUAAGACUAUGAAAAUACGUUAUUCCCCAGAAAUGGUUUUCACAGCUCUUGUCAUUGACUUAAAUCUCUUUCCCUGUGGGUUGGAAAGAUUAAAACUGUUGGCAUACAACUGAACAAUAGCUAUAUUUGUGCCUUAACCAAUUUCUUACAUUUGCUUGCUUGACAGUUAGCAUUUACUGUGACUGAAUGUCAUUUCCUUAAUAAAAAUGCACUUACCUUUUUCGACAUGU
rnacentral:lncRNA from 1 species